UCGUAGUCCGGAUUGGAGUCUGCAACUCGACUCCAUGAAGUCGGAAUCGCUAGUAAUCGUGGAUCAGAAUGCCACGGUGAAUACGUUCCCGGGCCUUGUACACACCGCCCGUCACACCAUGGGAGUGGGUUGCAAAAGAAGUAGGUAGCUUAACCUUCGGGAGGGCGCUUACCACUUUGUGAUUCAUGACUGGGGUGAAGUCGUAACAAGGUAACCGUAGGGGAACCUGCGGUUGGAUCACCUCCUUA
rnacentral:rRNA from 5 species